CCUACGGGUGGCAGCAGUGAGGAAUAUUGGUCAAUGGUCGUAAGACUGAACCAGCCAAGCCGCGUGCAGGAUGACGGUACAGAGUGUCGUAAACCGCUUUUAUCCGGGAACAAAGGCCGUGACGUGUCCCCGGAUGUAUGUACCGGAUGAAUAAGCAUCGGCUAACUCCGUGCCAGCAGCCGCGGUAAUACGGAGGGUGCGGGCGUUAUCCGGAUUUAUUGGGUUUAAAGGGUGCGCAGGCGGUGUGUUAAGUCAGCGGUCAAAGCCCGGGGCUCAACCCGGGCCCGCCGUUGAAACUGGCAGGCUCGAGUUGGAGGGACGUAUGCGGAAUGCGCGGUGUAGCGGUGAAAUGCAUAGAUAUCGCGAAGAACUCCGAUUGCGAAGGCAGCAUGCGGGCUCCACACUGACGCUGAGGCACGAAAGCGUGGGUAUCGAACAGGAUUAGAUACCCGUGUAGUC
rnacentral:rRNA from 1 species